CGCUCUGUAAAGUGUAUAGCCUGAAUUUACAGGAUGAAACAAUGUGCAUUAAUUAAUUAAACAACCACAACACCAGUGGAGGAUUUGAUCGAUGGUACAUUUGAAUUCUGAUAAGUCCGAUCACAGCUGGUCGGCAAUGUGAAUGUUGUUUCCCUUUGAACCGCGUUGCGCGCCAGUGGAUGCGCGUUGCUUUGCGCAAACUGGAAUAUCAUCUUUGCGACCAGUAGGCCAAAUUAUCUGUUUAGAAUAAACCAAGCUUUCAUUCUCAACGGUUUAAUCCAUUACAGUUGUCAGGUAAGGGCCACUAAUUGGAUUAUUUUCAUUAUCUGUAUGUAAGAUACUUUACAUCCAAUUAGGCUUAGAGAUCUAAGUAGCGUAAACCUAAUUUAAGUUUCCCUUUUUUCUCUAUAGUUGUAUCUUUAUAGUGGUCAAGUAAGGACUACUAAUAUACGUUUCCUUCUCUCUAUAUCACAGCACCGGUCACAAAUUUGAUCAGGAAUCCAUUGUACAAUGUAGUUACAAAACCUAGCUCCGCUAGGAAGACUUUUUUUAUUUUCAGCAACUUGCAAUUAGAUUAGGAGGACCGGCAAGUCAGAGUGCUCAUGUCAGGAGCUGAUGAUACGGAGGAACCGGAAGCAGGGAGGAGGAACAUCGGAUGGCUGGAUGACCCUGCUUGCCGGGCAACCCAUUACUGAUUUCCCAGAGAUGACGGUCUGCAAGAUGAGAUGUCAUCCUGGACGAAGAUACAUUCACUUUUGAAUCCCAAGGAACCGGAAGCAGAGAGGAGAACCGACGGAAGGACUGAAGACCCUGCUUGCAGAGCAAGUCUUCACCAAUUCUUGAGAUUCCUCUUGUUUCGUGUAAGCAGCAGAGACGAUGACAAUAUACAUAACGGAGUGCAGUUGUUCACCAAGGCUGG